AUUGAACGCUGGCGGCAUGCCUUACACAUGCAAGUCGAACGGCAGCACGGGUGCUUGCACCUGGUGGCGAGUGGCGAACGGGUGAGUAAUACAUCGGAACAUGUCCUGUAGUGGGGGAUAGCCCGGCGAAAGCCGGAUUAAUACCGCAUACGGUCUACGGAUGAAAGCGGGGGACCUUCGGGCCUCGCGCUAUAGGGUUGGCCGAUAGCUGAUUAGCUAGUUGGUGGGGUAAAGGCCUACCAAGGCGACGAUCAGUAGCUGGUCUGAGAGGACGACCAGCCACACUGGGACUGAGACACGGCCCAGACUCCUACGGGAGGCAGCAGUGGGGAAUUUUGGACAAUGGGCGAAAGCCUGAUCCAGCAAUGCCGCGUGUGUGAAGAAGGCCUUCGGGUUGUAAAGCACUUUUGUCCGGAAAGAAAUCCUUGGCUCUAAUACAGUCGGGGGAUGACGGUACCGGAAGAAUAAGCACCGGCUAACUACGUG
rnacentral:rRNA from 1 species